GACGAACGCUGGCGGCGUGCUUAACACAUGCAAGUCGAACGGAAAGGCCCUGCUUUUGUGGGGUGCUCGAGUGGCGAACGGGUGAGUAACACGUGAGUAACCUGCCCUUGACUUUGGGAUAACUUCAGGAAACUGGGGCUAAUACCGGAUAGGAGCUCCUGCUGCAUGGUGGGGGUUGGAAAGUUUCGGCGGUUGGGGAUGUACUCGCGGCUUAUCAGCUUGUUGGUGGGGUAGUGGCUUACCAAGGCUUUGACGGGUAGCCGGCCUGAGAGGGUGACCGGCCACAUUGGGACUGAGAUACGGCACAGACUCCUACGGGAGGCAGCAGUGGGGAAGAUUGCACAAUGGGCGGAAGCCUGAUGCAGCAACGCCGCGUGCGGGAUGACGGCCUUCGGGUUGGAAACCGCUUUCGCCUGUGACGAAGCGUGAGUGACGGUAAUGGGUAAAGAAGCACCGGCUAACUACGUG
rnacentral:rRNA from 1 species